rnacentral:rRNA from 1 species
GUAAGAGAUGGGCAUGCGGCCCAUUAGCUAGAUGGUAAGGUAACGGCUUACCAUGGCAACGAUGGGUAGGGGGCCUGAGAGGGAGAUCCCCCACACUGGUACUGAGACACGGACCAGACUCCUACGGGAGGCAGCAGUGAGGAAUAUUGGACAAUGGAGGCAACUCUGAUCCAGCCAUGCCGCGUGCAGGAAGACUGCCCUAUGGGUUGUAAACUGCUUUUAUACAGGAAGAAACAAUUCUACGUGUAGAAUCUUGACGGUACUGUAAGAAUAAGGAUCGGCUAACUCCGUGCCAGCAGCCGCGGUAAUACGGAGGAUCCAAGCGUUAUCCAGAAUCAUUGGGUUUGAAGGGUCCGUAGGUGGAUAAUUAAGUCAGAGGUGAAAUCCUGCAGUUCAACUGUAGAAUUGCCUUUGAUACUGGUUGUCUUGAGUUAUUAUGAAGUAGUUAGAAUAUGUAGUGUAGCGGUGAAAUGCAUAGAUAUUACAUAGAAUACCAAUU